rnacentral:lncRNA from 1 species
CCUUCGCCAACCUCCACUCCUCCAUGAGGUACGCAUACAUUUCUAUUGCUAUUGCUUGUACUUUGUUCCAGAUGUAUUCCUUUGACUAAUGAACCUAGCAGGAUCAAAGUCUAGAAUAUCCACACCAAAAUGCAUUGGCCUGCUGAACCCUUGUGCUGGUUAGAACGCAGAAUUGUGAUAUUGUGCUGGGAGCACUCUUGCUACAAUUAUCAGUUAGAUUUCAGCUUUGCAUCUUUUCAGGUUUAACAGUAGGUUUACGUUGAAACUGUUAAGCAAGUAUCAAAUUGAGUGCAUAGUGUGCAAUUUGUGUUUAGUAAUCUAGUAGCUCAUAAGCAUCAGACCAUAUGUUUUCUUAUAAGCAAAUUAUAUUGAUGGUUGCAAGACAAGUUAAAAUAUACUAGUGCUACCUUGAUUUUAUACUGCUUGCCAUUUAUUUCUUUGUUUGAUGUUUUAUAUGCUUCUGAUGCGUGAUCCUUCUAAUGCUAGGUGAUUUGUUUCUUGGAAUUUGGAAGAGGAAGACGAUGAAACGUGGUGGUUAUCUAUCAAUAUGCCUUGUGUUCUGGUUGUACUUCAUAGCUAGUUACAUUGUAUUCUGUACUGGUCUGGUUGUAUGAACACUAUGUAAAGAUUGUAAUAGGCUAAUUUUGGCUAUCAUUUCAAGUAUAUAGUUCUG